rnacentral:rRNA from 1 species
GGUAAUUCCAGCUCCAAUAGCGUAUAUUAAAGUUGUUGCGGUUAAAAAGCUCGUAGUUGGAUCUCGGCGGGCAGGGGGCGGUCCGUUAUUUGACGCGACUGCCCCAUUUGCCCGUGUUUCUUCGGCAGAACUCCCGGGGUGCUCUUCGCCGAGUGUCCCGUUGGGGGCUACCAGGUUUACUUUGAAAAAAUUAGAGUGCUCCAAGCAGGCUCGACACGCCUGAAUAUUCGUGCAUGGAAUAAUGGAAUAGGACGUCGUUCCUAUUUUGUUGGUUUUCGGGAAUCGACGUAAUGAUUAAUAGGGACAGCCGGGGGCAUUAGUAUUCAGACGACAGAGGUGAAAUUCUUGGACCGUCUGGCGACUCACUGCUGCGAAAGCGUUUGCCAAGUAUGUUUUCAUUAAUCAAGAACGAAAGUUAGAGGUUCGAAGGCGAUCAGAUACCGCCCUAGUUCUAACCAUAAACGAUGCCAGCUAGCGAUCCGCAGACGUUUUUAUUGUAGGCUCUGCGGGAAGCUUCCGGGAAACCAAAGCGUUUGGGUUCCGGGGGAAGUAUGGUUGCAAAGCUGAAACUUAAAGAAAUUGACGGAAGGGCACCACCAGGCGUGGAACUUGCGGCUUAAUUUGACUCAACACUGGAAAUCUCACCAGGCCCGGACACCGGAAGGAUUGACAGAUUGAGAGCUCUUUCUCGAUUCGGUGGGUGGUGGUGCAUG